rnacentral:rRNA from 1 species
CGCGGCCUAUCAGCUUGUUGGUGGGGUGAUGGCCUACCAAGGCGACGACGGGUAGCCGGCCUGAGAGGGCGACCGGCCACACUGGGACUGAGACACGGCCCAGACUCCUACGGGAGGCAGCAGUGGGGAAUAUUGCGCAAUGGGCGGAAGCCUGACGCAGCGACGCCGCGUGGGGGAUGACGGCCUUCGGGUUGUAAACCUCUUUCGACUUCGACGAAGCCUUCGGGUGACGGUAGGGGUGGAAGAAGCACCGGCCAACUACGUGCCAGCAGCCGCGGUAACACGUAGGGUGCGAGCGUUGUCCGGAAUUAUUGGGCGUAAAGAGCUCGUAGGCGGUGUGUCGCGUCGGCCGUGAAAACCUGCAGCUUAACUGUGGGCUUGCGGUCGAUACGGGCAUCACUGGAGUUCGGCAGGGGAGACUGGAAUUCCUGGUGUAGCGGUGAAAUGCGCAGAUAUCAGGAGGGACACCGGUGGCGAAGGCGGGUCUCUGGGCCGAUACUGACGCUGAGGAGCGAAAGCGUGGGGAGCGAACAGGAUUAGAUACCCUGGUAGUCCACGCCGUAAACGUUGGGCGCUAGGUGUGGGGGCCAUUCCACGGUCUCUGUGCCGUAGCUAACGCAUUGAGCGCCCCGCCUGGGGAGUACGG